rnacentral:rRNA from 1 species
CAGCAGCCGCGGUAAUACGUAGGUGGCGAGCGUUGUCCGGAUUUAUUGGGCGUAAAGGGAGUGUAGGCGGUCUUUUAAGUCUGAUGUGAAAGCCCACGGCUCAACCGUGGAGGGUCAUUGGAAACUGGGAGACUUGAGUGCAGAAGAGGAGAGCGGAAUUCCAUGUGUAGCGGUGAAAUGCGUAGAUAUAUGGAGGAACACCAGUGGCGAAGGCGGCUCUCUGGUCUGUAACUGACGCUGAGACUCGAAAGCGUGGGGAGCAAACAGGAUUAGAUACCCCCGUAGUCCCUGUCUCUUAUAC